rnacentral:rRNA from 1 species
UAACGGCGAGUGAAGCGGCAACAGCUCAAAUUUGAAAUCUGGCCUCUUGGGGUCCGAGUUGUAAUUUGUAGAGGAUGUUUCGGGUACCGCCUCGGUUUAAAUUUCUUGGAACAGAAUGUCAAAGAGGGUGAGAAUCCCGUCUUGGACCGGCGGUAGGGCCUAUGUGAAACUCCUUCGACGAGUCGAGUUGUUUGGGAAUGCAGCUCAAAAUGGGUGGUAAAUUUCAUCUAAAGCUAAAUAUUGGCCAGAGACCGAUAGCGCACAAGUAGAGUGAUCGAAAGAUGAAAAGCACUUUGAAAAGAGAGUUAAACAGUAUGUGAAAUUGUUGAAAGGGAAGCGCUUGCAACCAGACUUGAGCGCGGCGGUUCCCCCUUGCUUCUGCUUGGGUUACUCCGCCGUGUCCAGGCCAACAUCGGUUCUGGGGGUCGGUCAAAGGCUCUGGGAAUGUAUCUACCCACGGGUAGACUUAUAGACCAGGGUGUCAUGCGACCUCCCGGGACCGAGGAACGCGCUUCGGCUCGGAUGUUGGCGUAAUGGUUGUCAGCGACCCGUCUUGAACCACGGACCA